GAUGAAGAACGCAGCGAAAUGCGAUAAGUAAUGUGAAUUGCAGAAUUCAGUGAAUCAUCGAAUCUUUGAACGCACAUUGCGCCCGUCAGUAUUCUGGCGGGCAUGCCUGUUCGAGCGUCAUUACGCCCCUCAAGUCCCCUGUGGACUUGGUGUUGGGGAUCGGCGAGGCUGGUUUUCCAGCACAGCCGUCCCUUAAAUUAAUUGGCGGUCUCGCCGUGGCCCUCCUCUGCGCAGUAGUAAAACUCUCGCAACAGGAGCCCGGCGCGGUCCACUGCCGUAAAACCCCCCAACUUUUUAUAGUUGACCUCGAAUCAGGUAGGACUACCCGCUGAACUUAAGCAUAUCAAUAAGCGGAGGA
rnacentral:misc_RNA from 1 species